GUGCUGACCGUGGUGGCUGAGAGGCUACAGGAGGCACUGAGGGGUGCUGGGGGCUUGAUGCCACCAAGGACCCCAGACCAAGUCAUCUUUUUUUUCCUGCUCAGCUUUGAAGGGAAGUUAAAGACAAAGAGGAAGGGGCUGUAUUUCAUUCUCCCAGAUGGCUCUUGCCAGCCUCCAGAGAAAAGGCAGCUUUCUUCUUUAGAAAAUUGGCAGGACAAAAGAAGGAAGUCGACUUGGAAAGUCCAGCGACAGACCUCGUGCCCCUGCUCUGGGAGGCCGCAGGUCAAUGGCUCCCCCUGGCUUCGGGGGACACAGCUCAAGCCUGGACGGAGCCCAUGGCCAGCCUGAAAGCCUUGCUCACACCCAGCAUCCGCAGCUGGGGCAAGAGCAGCUACUCCCAAGACAGGAAAAGACACACAGCCUAACUUUGCCACUGUGAAGGGAGACUUCUCUUUAAUGCCUAACUAGACACUUAUCUUCCAACCUCCUCAAAAUGCCUUCAAUAGAAGUCCCAGGAAGACACGGAGCCCCAGCCGCCCACUGACUCCUACAGGAUGCAGCUGCGCCAGGCAGCCCAUCCCAGGGGGCCCAGGCCGAAGAGGGGCCAGGGUGCUUCCCUUGAGAAUGAAAAGGGAUGUCGGGUAGAGGGGGAGGGUGACGUGGGACUCGUUAGUGGCUGUUAAAGGAGCUAGCGUCUCGGUUCCUGCAGGAAAAGUGCUUUGAGCACUCGCCUGGCCUGGUGAAGAAGGAAGGCAGUUGGCGGGCAUUUUUGGAAGCUCUCACCCCCCAUGCUGGCCCUGGUACCCUUUCUCCAGGGACGCAGGGCCCACAUUCAUCACAGUGGGGUUCCAUAGAUGAUGGUCCUGUCAUAUCAGGGUUCCCAUUGAAGGGGGCCCUUUUUGGCACUUUCUUUUAUUCCAUUAGUCUGUUUGCCUGUUCACACAUUUUAUUGCUUUUCCCCGCAAAAGAAUCAAUGUGGGAAUUUAUUUAUUUAUUUAUUGAGACAGAGUCUCACUCUGUCACCCAGGCUGGAGUGCAGUGGUGCAAUCUCAGCUCACUGCAACCUCCGCCUCCCUGGUUCAAGCAAUUCUCCUGUCUCAGCUUCCCAAGUAGCUGGAAUUACAGGCAUCUGCCACCAUGCCCAGCUAAUUUUUUGUAUUUUUUGUAUAUAUAUAUUUUUUUCUGAGAUGGAGUCUCUCUGUGUUGCCUAAGCUGGAGUACAGUGGCGUGAUCUCAGCUCAUUGCAACUUCCGCCUCCCAGGUUCAAGCAAUUCUUCCUGCCUCAGCCUCCCAAGUAGGUGGGAUUACAGGUGCCCACUACCAUGCCUGGCUAAUUUUUGUAUUUUUUAGUAGAGACAGGAUUUCACCACAUUGGCCAGAUUGGUCUUGAACUCCUGACCUCAUGAUCCACCUACCUUGGCCUCCCAAAGUGCUGGGAUUACAGGUGUGAGCCACUGCGCCCAGCCAGGAAUUUAUUUUUAAAUUAAAUUUGAUUUAUUUAGUUUCCUAACUCUUUUAUUGUUUUUAGGCAAUUUUUUGAAGUAUAAUAUGAAUAAGAAAAUUAUGGUGAAUUGUUACAGCAUCGAGACCUCCAAGACCAGGACAUAGAACGAUCCCAGCCCCCAGAAACCUCCACCCCGUAAGGCUCCACAACCCCUCUUCUAACACACAGAUUACCUUCAGCUCUUCUUGAACUUCAUAUAAGUGUGAAACUUACCCAUGCUGUUGAACACAGCACUGUUUCAUUCAUGUAAGUGGCCUUAUAGUAUUCCAUUAUGUGAACGCAGUUUAUCAUCCGUUCGUUAAUCACAGUAGUUUUUACCUGUUGUGAGUAAGGGUGUCACAAACAGCCUCAUGUGUACUUUGUGGCAGAUGGAAUUCUUGUACAGAUGUGGAACAUACACUGGAUUUGAAGUGCUGGGUUAUAGAGUAUGCACAUGCUCAGCUUUAUCAAACACUGCUUAACAGCUUUUCAGAGUGGCUGUGCCAACUCACACUCUCCAACAGUCUAUGGGAGUUCCAGUUGCCCCACACCCUUGCUACCACUUGCAAUUGUCAGCUGUAAAUUUUAGCCAUUUUGUCGGGUGUAUAUUGGUAUUUUAUUGUGUUUUUGAUACUCAUUGCUCCCGCAAUCAUUGAAGUUGAGCACGGUUGUAUAUGCUUAGUGGCAAUUUGGAUACUGUCUUUGCGUUUUCAAAAAUUGGGUUUUUGUCUUUUAUUGAUUUGUAGAAUUUCUUUAUUCUGAAUUUGAGUUCUUAGUUGUGCUUGUGUGUGUGCACAUAGUAAACACACACACAGGUUAAAAUAAUUGGGAGAUCAUUAGAACGAGAUGACCCCAGCGCCUUGGGUUUCAACUCAAGCAAACCAAAGUCCAUCUCAGUGUACAUGGUUAUAGUUCAGGUAAGCAGAAACCACCGGCUGAUCUCUAACACGGGGCUUUUGACUGGAAUGAUUUCUUUCCCUUUCUUUCUCUUUCUUUCUCUCUUUCUCUCUUCCUUUCUUUUUUUUCUUUCUUCUUUUCUUUCCUAUCUUUCUGCCUUUCUUUCCUUCCUUCCAUCCUUCCAUCUCUUUCUUUCUUUUUCUUUUCUUUCUUUCCCUCUCUCUUUCCUCCCUCCCUCCCUUUCUUCCUUCCUUCCUUCUUUCCUUCCUUCCCUUCCUCCUUCCCUCCUUCCCCUCCCUCCCUAAAAUUCAUAGAAUAAAAAAAUGCCUGAAUAGCCAAAGUAAUCCUAAGCAAAAAGAACAAAGCUGGAGGAAUCACAUUACCUGACUUCAAAUUAUCUUACAAGGCUAUGGUAACCAAAACAGCAUGGUAUUUAGGAUUGUUUUCCCAAUUCUUUGAAAAGCGAUGUUGGUAUCUUCAUAGGAAUUGCAUUGAAUCUGUAGAUUGCUUUGGGUAGUGUGGUCACUUUCACAAUAUUGAUUCUUCCAAUCCAUGAUCAUGGGAUGUAUUUCCAUUGGUUUGUGUCAUAUACAAUUUCUUUCAGCAGUGUUUGCUAGGUCUCCUUGUAGAGAUAUUUCACCUCUUGGUCAAGUUAUUUCUAGUUAUUUUAUUUUACUUUUUGCAGCUAUUGUAAAAGAGCUCGAGUUCUUGAUUUGAUUCUCAGCUUGGUCAUUGUUGGUGUAUAGCAGUGCUACUGAUUUGUGUGCAUUGAUUUUGUAACCUGAGACUUCAUUGAAUUCAUUUAUCAGCAAUUCACUCAUUUUUAGAGGAUACUUGGUCCAUGCACAUGUCAGAGAUUGUUGUAAUGUUUCUUUCUUGCAAUGAUCUCAUCACAUUUUAAUCACAAAGUCAGGCUAGUCUUUUAAAUAAAGUUGCAAAGCAUUAAUC
rnacentral:antisense_RNA from 1 species